UCCCUGGUGGUUCGGCCACGACGCUCUCACCGCCGCGGCCCGGGUUCGAUUCCCGGCCAGGGAU